rnacentral:rRNA from 1 species
UACGGAGGGUGCGAGCGUUGUCCGGAAUCACUGGGCGUAAAGGGCGCGUAGGCGGCCUGAUAAGUAGGGGGUGAAAUCCUGCGGCUUAACCGCAGGGCUGCCUUCUAAACUGUCGGGCUUGAGCACAGUAGAGGCAGGUGGAAUUCCCGGUGUAGCGGUGGAAUGCGUAGAGAUCGGGAAGAACACCGAUGGCGAAGGCAGCCCCCUGGGCUGACACUGACGCUCAUGCACGAAAGCGUGGGGAGCAAACAGG